GACGAACGCUGGCGGCGUGCUUAACACAUGCAAGUCGAACGGAAAGGCCCUGCUUUUGUGGGGUGCUCGAGUGGCGAACGGGUGAGUAACACGUGAGUAACCUGCCCUUGACUUUGGGAUAACUUCAGGAAACUGGGGCUAAUACCGGAUAGGAGCUCCUGCUGCAUGGUGGGGGUUGGAAAGUUUCGGCGGUUGGGGAUGGACUCGCGGCUUAUCAGCUUGUUGGUGGGGUAGUGGCUUACCAAGGCUUUGACGGGUAGCCGGCCUGGGAGGGUGACCGGCCACAUUGGGACUGCGAUACGGCCCAGACUCCUACGGGAGGCAGCAGUGGGGAAUAUUGCACAAUGGGCGGAAGCGUGAUGCAGCAACGCCGCGUGCGUGAUGACGGCCUUCGGGUUGUAAACCGCUUUCGCCUGUGACGAAGCGUGAGUGACGGUAAUGGGUAAAGAAGCACCGGCUAACUACGUG
rnacentral:rRNA from 1 species